UAUUGAUCAUUUGCAUCACUCCUCCGGAUUGUUGCUACCACACAACAGAGCAAAGACACAAAAACAGCACACAAGGGACUCUAAAUAUACAUAAAAUACCUCUUCAACUUUGAAGGGAAAACAGACCAUGACAGCCUCUUUUUUCUCUACCUCUCUUUCACUUGUUCUCCGUCCCUCUCUUUCUUUGCCAAGGCCUCUUCCUUGGAGAAGAGUCUUUCACUUAUCCUUCUUCUCUCCCUCCUCUUCUUUGGGAAGAAAGUAUAUAUUAUAACAACAUAUAUGUGAUAGGGAAUGCGAAAGCUAAAACCA
rnacentral:lncRNA from 1 species